AUGAACGUUGGCGGCGUGGAUUAGGCAUGCAAGUCGAGCGAGAAGUUCCCCUUCGGGGGGACGGGCAGCGGCGAACGGGAGAGUAACGCGUGGAGUACCUACCCUUGGAUCCGGGAUAGCCGCGGGAAACUGCGGGUAAUACCGGAUAACGUCUCCGGACCAAAGGUGUGAUUCCGUCUGAGGAUGGCUCCGCGUCCUAUUAGCUUGUUGGUGGGGUAACGGCCUACCAAGGCGACGAUGGGUACCGGGUGUGAGAGCAUGACCCGGCUCACUGGGACUGAGACACUGCCCAGACACCUACGGGUGGCUGUAGUCGAGAAUCUUCGGCAAUGGACGCAAGUCCGACCGAGCGACGCCGCGUGCGGGAUGAAGGCCUUCGGGUUGUAAACCGCUGUCAGUGGGGAGGAAAUCCAGGGGAGUUAUCUCUUCUGGUUGACCUAUCUUCGGAGGAAGUGCGGGCUAAGUUCGU
rnacentral:rRNA from 1 species